CAGUUAAAAUUAAUAACAAAGUAAUAGAUAUGAAAUUUUGAGAAUAAGGUAGUAAAUUGUGUUGCAUUUUCAUUAAACAAUGCUCCAGCAGUUGAAUGGAAAACAUAGGUAUAUUCCUAAAACAUGAUUUUAUGUCUAUUGUACAUGGAAUAAAACUGAUUAUUGUUAUUCAAACAGACUCAUAUGCAGGAGCAGAAUCAUUUGAUAAAUGGGACAUACCUAAUAAAUUGAGUCUGGGGGAAGGUGGUUUUUAUUAUUGAAUUGUAUUUAUAGCCGGGAAUUUCAAAAUUUUUCCUUGAGUGAUAAAAUCGUGUAUAUAAAUUAGCCCAAGUUUUAAAACAAUACGGUCCAUCAGUACAUUAUAUCAACAAUUUGCAAGUAUAAUUUUCUACACUACCAUUUACAUUUAAACAACAAUUUCAGAUUUAACAGCUAAUUACCACAGCGAACCAUUGCAUUUUAAUUACCUUAGAAAAAUGGGGUGAACUGUAUUAUCAGCUGAAACUUUUGAAAAUGAUGUAGUUGUACUUCCUUGUAGAAUUAAACUAUUAAAUGAUGAGGUAAGAGACGUGAUGGAGGAAAUGUGACGUGAAUUUGUUAUAUUUGAACCUAAUAGCUUUGUUGUGCGUAUGGGAGCAUUUACAUGAUGCGAGAAUAUCUCUGGUUGGAUACAUCUACGAAGGGUUGUACGGGAACUCAAACUCCAGCAUGCUUUUAAAGUGUUUGUAAACAUCGAUGCAGACAGAUAGUGUAACAGAGUCUGUAAAAGUGGUUUAGAAUUAAAGUGUUUAAAAAACAAGGGUUUACU